AUACGGAUGGUGCGAGCGUUGUUCGGAAUUACUGGGCGUAAAGGGCGCGUAGGCGGCGAUGUAAGUCGAAUGUGAAAGUCCUCGGCUUAACCGGGGAAGUGCAUCUGAAACUGCAUUGCUUGAGUAUGGGAGAGGAAAGUGGGAUUCCCGGUGUAGAGGUGAAAUUCGUAGAGAUCGGGAGGAAUACCGGUGGCGAAGGCGACUUUCUGGACCAAUACUGACGCUGAGGCGCGAAAGCGUGGGGAGCAAACAGGAUUAGAAACCCUAGUAGUCC
rnacentral:rRNA from 1 species